AGAGGGGAGGGGGAUAAGGAUGUUCUAUCUACAUAGAGGAGGGGGGAUAAGGAUGUUCUAUCUACAUAGAGGAGGGGAGAUAUGGAUGUUCUAUCUACAUAGAGGAGGGGUGUUAAGGAUGUUCUAUCUACGUAGAGGAGGGGAGAUAUGGAUGUUCUAUCUACAUAGUGGAGGGGUGUUAAGAAUGUUCUAUCUACAUAGUGGAGGGGAGAUAUUUAUGUUCUAUCUACAUAGAGGAGGGGAGAUAAUUAUGUUCUAUAUACAUAGUGUAGAGGGGAUAAGCAUGUUCUAUCUACAUAGAGGAGGGGGGAUAAGAAUGUUCUAUCUACAUAGAGGAGGGGUGUGAAGGAUGUUCUAUCUACAUAGUGGAGGGGAGAUAAGGAUGUUCUAUCUACA
rnacentral:lncRNA from 1 species